CCAAACAUUUUUCGGAUAGCCACAAACAGAUAGAAUACUGAAGUGAAUAAACUUACGUGACAAAUACCCUUCCUCCUAAUGGCAGUCAUCAAGUACAUUAUUUUUGUUGUGAUACUAGUGACCGUGUUGUGUGUUACGGUUAACUCUCAGUUUUUGUGCUCACAUUGCUCAACGGCGGAUGAUUGUGGCACUGGGAAAACCUGCCUUGGAAGGUUCGUGGAUCAACCCAAACGGCUAGUAAACUGCUGCGAAUUCCUAUAAAUUAUGUAUCUUAAUCUAAUUGUUAAUUGUUUAUAAUUGUAAGAUAUAAGUCAGUGUUAAUUAUGGGUGUCGAAAUAAUAAUUGUAAUCCUUACUAA